AUUAAAGACAUCACAAUGAGCCCCUCUAAUGGAAUCCUGGAAGGAGGAAAGAAAACCAAGCAAGGGAAUUGGAAGAGUUUGAAACAGGAACAGAAUUUAGAAAUAAAAGGUGGCAUCAUCAUCAUCAUCAUCAUCAUCAUCAUCAUCAUCUAUUAAAUUUAUGUGCUGCCUGAUUCCCAGUGACUCUGGGUGGUUUACAAUUGCCAAAAUAUUUAAAAACAAAGAACCAUACAAAAACACAAAAACAGCAGAACACAAAAGAAUGAUAGCAAAGAAAAUAAACCAAGAAGGGAACAGAAAGGAAGAAAAGGGUGUCAGUCAUCCUCUCUAAAACUUACUCUAUUAAGUAAUAAUAAAUAAGGAUAUUACCAU